AACGAACGCUGGCGGCGUGCCUAACACAUGCAAGUCGAACGAGAAAGGGGCUUCGGCUCCGAGUAAAGUGGCGCACGGGUGAGUAACACGUGGGUAACCUGCCUCUAAGAUUGGGAUAACCCGUCGAAAGAUGGGCUAAUACCGGAUAAGACCACAGUCCUCGCGGGGACAGAGGUUAAAGGUAGCCUCUAUUUAUAAGCUCUCGCUUGGGGAGGGGCUCACGUCCCAUCAGCUAGUUGGUAGGGUAACGGCCUACCAAGGCAUUGACGGGUAGCUGGUCUGAGAGGACGAUCAGCCACACUGGCACUGAGACACGGGCCAGACUCCUACGGGAGGCAGCAGUGAGGAAUCUUGCGCAAUGGACGAAAGUCUGACGCAGCGAUGCCGCGUGGGGGAUGAAGGCUUUCGGGUCGUAAACCCCUUUGAGUGGGAAAGAAUCGCCGCGAGGUAAACAAUCUCGCGGUCUGACGGUACCCACAGAACAAGCCACGGCUAACUCUGUGCCAGCAGCCGCCGUAAAAC
rnacentral:rRNA from 1 species